AGAAACGGCCAUACCAUGUUGAAAACACCGGUUCUCGUACGAUCACCGAAGUUAAGCAGCAUUGGGCGUGGUUAGUACUUGGAUGGAUGACCGUUUGGGAACAUCAAGUGCUGUUGGUA